CCUACGGGUGGCAGCAGUGAGGAAUAUUGGUCAAUGGUCGGAAGACUGAACCAGCCAAGCCGCGUGAAGGACGAAGGUGCCAAGCAUUGUAAACUUCUUUUUUCAGGGAACAAACUCAGGCUCGAGAUCCUGGCCGAGGGUACUUGAAGAAAAAGCAUCGGCUAACUCCGUGCCAGCAGCCGCGGUAAUCCGGAGGCUGCGAGCGUUAUCCGGAUUUAUUGGGUUUAAAGUGUGCGCAGGCGGGCUGUUAAGUCAGCGGUCAAAGCCCGGGGCUCAACCCCGGCGAGCCGUUGAAACUGGCUGUCAUGAGAUGGAGAGAGGUAGGCGGAAUGCGCGGUGUAGCGGUGAAAUGCUUAGAUAUCGCGCAGAACUCCGAUUGCGAAGGCAGCAUACCGGCGGCGAUCUGACGCUGAGGUACGAAAGCGUGGGUAUCGAACAGGAUUAGAUACCCCUGUAGUC
rnacentral:rRNA from 1 species